GUCUAUGGCCAAGCUACCCUGAACAAGCCCGAUCCCGUCUGAUCUCGGAAGCAAAGCAGGUUUGGGCCUGGUUAGUACUUGGAUGGGAGACCACCUAGGAAAAUCAGGUGCUAUAGGGG
rnacentral:rRNA from 1 species